GACGAACGCUGGCGGCGUGCUUAACACAUGCAAGUCGAACGGAAAGGCCCUGCUUGCAGGGUACUCGAGUGGCGAACGGGUGAGUAACACAUGGGUGAUCUGCCCUGCACUUCGGGGUAGGCCUGGAAAACUGGGUCUAAUACCGGAUAGGAGCCAUUUUUAGUGGGAUGGUUGGAAAGUUUUUUCGGGUUUGGAUGAGCUGGCGGCCUAUCGGCUUGUUGGUGGGGUAAUGGCCUACCAAGGCGGCGACGGGUAGCCGGCCUGAGAGGGUGGACGGCCACCAUGGGACUGAGGGACGGCCCAGACGGCUACGGGAGGCAGCAGGGGGGAAUCUUGCACAAUGGGGGCAAGCCUGAUGCAGAGGCGCCGCGGGGGGGAUGACCGGUUUCGGGUGGAAAACGCGUUUCGCGAGGGACGAAGCUUUUUGUGACGGUACCUAGAUAAGAAGCACCGGCUAACUACGUG
rnacentral:rRNA from 1 species